rnacentral:lncRNA from 1 species
AACAUUCCCAGAGAGCUCUUCGGCAUAGUUGGGGCAAGCGCCCCCCCCACACACACCCCGAGGGCCCCUGCCUGCCAAACACCGCAGCAGGGCCUCUGAGAAAAUACCGCAUUUCUAGGAAGGGAGGCAGAGAACUGGGCGAGCGACUCCAUCACCUUCCUGUGUGUGAACCUUGGGGACGAGAAAAGCGCCCUAAAUGGACUGAUGCCCCCCGAGCCCUUAGCGCAGUGCCUCACAUGCAGGAGAGCCUCUCUAAGGGUUGCUAGAUGAACCGGGCGGAGACCCCCAGAACACACGAACGAAAAGCACGAACCAAUGCGAACUCAUUGCAGGUGUCGGGAACAUGCGUGCGAGAGUGAUUUCGUGAUAGAGGCGGGUGACAGACUCCGGGGAGGUUUCAGUGUGUUGGAUUAGCUUCUUCACCAUCCCAGACAUUUUCCUAUAAAGGCAGGUUGCCAGCUGGGUUUGAAAGGCUUGAAGGGACACGAUCCAGCUGUUAGGCAGACUCUCCGGGAGGGAGGGGAUGGAGCCGACAUUGUGAGUGGCAAUGAAUGAGCUCGGGUGCAGAAGGAACACUGACUCAACAGGAAGCAGCAGAUGCAGGGAGGGUACCGGGUCCCAGUACCACCCACCCCUGCGAGGCCACUUCUGACACCGCCGAAAGCAUCUAUGUCCGUUUUUAAUCCGAUUUCAAAAUAACACUGAGCCUAUCUUCAGAUGACCCACAAAUAUCUGUGAAUAAACCAUCCACAGAAAUUUCAGCAUGUUCACUUCAGCUUGAUUAAUCAUAAAAAAAAAGAAAAGAAGGAGUGUCUUCUGGGCAGGUCCAUUUGGCACUCAAGUGGUGGCACUGCCUUGACGGGAUCUCGGUGUUCCCUGAUCUCAUCCUCUGAUGCACAGGCUGAGAGAACUGACUUUGUCACUGUGCCGAGAGCCGACUGGACCCCAAAGGGCAGACUCACACUAAUCCAACUCAUAAGGGAAUGAGGUAUGGAAGCUACGAUAUCAACCUACAAUUUAUAUUUGUGAUGAGACGCUCACUUCCUGAUCCUCAUACCUGCUUUUCCACCUGCCUGCAAUCAUUUCCCUACAGCCCCCGGCCCCCCUGAUUAGCCAGUCUUAGGUCUCCAUUCAUCAGCUUCCCAGAAACCCUUUCCAAUCAUCCUGACCGACAUCGAGGGCCUUUCGUAUGUGUUCCCACAGCUGCACUGCUUUCCAAGUCACAGUUGUGUAGUGUUUUCCCAACACCCACAAGUUCCCCAAUUCUUCAGACACCACUGGGUGUAAUACGAGUCACCUCCGACACUAACCAUCGGGUUAGGUGUCAGCAUCCGCAGGUCAAUGCCUCAGUCCCACAGGACAGCCCCCACCUCCAACACCAGCCCCAAGCCCCACGUGGGAAGCUCUCUGAACCCAACUGCUUAGGGAUGUUUUUAUGGGGGUCUCCUUGAGCAGUCCUGAUUGGUCAGACCACUGGCCAUGAGUAAUCCGCUCAAUCUCCUGCCCUCCCCACCUCCCUUGGACGUCAGGGGUUGGGGCUGAACAUUCCAACCGUCUAACCUUGGCUUUUCUGCAAGCAGCCCCCCUCCUGAAACGCUCGAGGGAUCCCAACCGCAGUCAUCUCCUUCGCACACUCAUCACUCUGGAGAUUCCAAAGUUUGUAGGAACUGCGUGCCGGGCACCAAAUAUUUAUUUAUUAUGUUUUUCAUAUUUGUUGUUAUGUAUUCAUAUUUCCGUUUCACAGUGGCAUUUAACGUGUAAAACAUGAAUCCCUUAUUUACUCACCUCUCUGCCCCAGGAGCAGAAGGACAUUGUACUCGCCCUUAUACCCACAGUACCCAAUGCCAGCCCUGCCGCCUUCCCGGCUCCAUCCCUGGAGCCUUGCGUUUUGGAAUGCUGAGCAAAUCCACCUGGCAGGUCAAACUACAGUGAAAACACUUAGCUCUGGACUCAAAUGUAAGUGACCUGGCUGCGUGAUGCGGUUGACCAGAGUCCCCUGGGCAGACAGGUGAUCCGGUUCAUUACAAAGGCACGUAUGGCACAGGCUGGAAACCCUGAUCUCAGAUCAGGUAACCUUAGCUCAGAGUCCCUGAGAGUUUCACUCCAAGGGUUGUAACCUUGAACCCCCAUUACAAGUGCAUUGUCCUCCUCCACACCCCCCAGUACCCCAGGUGACCUCACCUGUACAUUGUGUGUUCUUGAAAAUGCGCCAACUGUGCAAGCAAAGGCAGGCUCUGCAGCAUUUCCUUUCUAUAUGUAAUUCAUUUUAUCCAUAAGUCUUAGCUUCGUUUAUUCCAAACUCAGUGUGACUUCAGUGGCAUUUUUGAGGGAUGUUAUUUAGCAUCCUAUCUCCCCUGCUUUGUCCCUGUAAAGUAUUCCUUGUGUUUUUAUUAUUAUUACCAAAAAAUUUCAUUAUCACAUUAUAGACAGUUUUAAAAAGGCAAAAAGAAAAAUUAAAACCACCAGUUAGGAGUAAUUAUUUUGAAUCUUUUUUCUACUUAAAAAUUUAUGAUGAGGUGUUUUCUACUUAAAAAUAUAUGAUGUGGCUCAGCAGUGGUAACAAACCUGACUAGUAUCCAUGAAUAUGGCUUCUAUCCCUGGCCUUGCUCAGUGGGUUGAGGAUCCAGCAUUGCCAUGAGCUGGGGUGUAGGUCCAGACGGGGCUCAGAUCUGGCGUUGCUGUGGCUGUGGUGUAGGCUGGCAGCUGUAGCUCCAAUUCGACCUCUAGCCUGGAAACCUCCAUAUGACGCAGGUGCGCCCCUACAAGGACAAACAUACCUAUGAUAAGCAUCUUCCUGCAUCACUAGAUUUCUAAAAUGACAAGUUUUCAGGACUCCAUUUGGCCACCUGCAUGCUAAUUAAGUUAGUAAGUAUUUCUUUUCCAUUUCCCGAUCUGAUUCAAAAGUGUAUUUUUCAUGUAGUCAUUAAACAAUGUGGGUGUGAAAAUGCUUGUGCAACAUGAAAAAUGUUUCCAGUGUAAUGGUGAGUAAAAGAGGCAGGACCAAAUUUGUGUGGAUACUCUAAUUGCAAUUAAUUUUAAAAAAUUAAUUCCGAGAAAAAAGGAUUGAAGAAUAUAUAUUAAAACGCAGUUUGCAGAGCUUCCGUCAUGGUUCAGCGGAAAUACAUCUGACUAGUAUCCACAAGGAUGUAGGUUCGACCCCUGGCCUCGCUCUGUGGUGUAGGUCGAAGACGCGGCUCAGAGCCGGUGUUGCUGUGGCUGUGGUGUAGGCAGGCAGCCAUGGCUCUGAUUCAACCUCCUAGCCUGGGAACCUCCACAUGCUGUCGGUGUGGCCCUAAAAAG